UCCAUUUACUUUUGACUGGUUUGUGGC
rnacentral:sRNA from 1 species